GGUACCGUCAAAUGCAAUGGGUAUUGGCCAUCGCACAUUUCUUCCCUAUUGACAGAGCUUUACAACCCUAAGGCCUUCAUCACUCACGCGGCGUCGCUGCAUCAGGGUUUCCCCCAUUGUGCAAAAUUCCUCA
rnacentral:rRNA from 1 species